UACGAAGGGUGCAAGCGUUAACCGGAAUUACUGGGCGUAAAGCGCGCGUAGGUGGUUCAGUAAGUUGGAAGUGAAAUCCCCGGGCUCAACCUGGGAACUGCUUUCAAAACUGCUGAGCUAGAGUACGGUAGAGGGUGGUGGAAUUUCCUGUGUAGCGGUGAAAUGCGUAGAUAUAGGAAGGAACACCAGUGGCGAAGGCGACCACCUGGACUGAUACUGACACUGAGGUGCGAAAGCGUGGGGAGCAAACAGG
rnacentral:rRNA from 1 species